AUUACAUUAUAAAGUAAGGUUUUUCUUUUUAAUUUAAUGAAAAAGUUUAGUAUUCCAAUGACAUAGUUUUUCAAUUUAAAGAGAUUAAUAUGUCAUGCUAGUGGUCAGAAAUUCUACAACAUUAGAACGUAGAGCAACUUUUCUGCACUGUGGUUAUAUCAAGCAUUAAAACAGGAGGCUUUUCUCUCUCAAGCAAAAUGACCACUGCCGUUGCUUCACCACCAAGUUGUGAGAUACUUACUAUAAUACUUCUAAUUUCCUUAAAGUGGUUUCCAAAAAUAAGUGACUGAAAACUAGCUACUGGCAGCUUAACCUCUUAAAAAUAGAAUAUUUACCAGAUUAUAUAAACAUGGAAUAUAGUGUAAAAAUAAAAUAAUGAGUCAUCAGGUUAGUACAAUUUUCCAUGCAAAGGAGAUGAGCCAAAUUCUAGUAUUGUUUAUAGUGUGUGAAUCUAAUGGAUGCAUCACACUGGUAUGAAACUACUACAUAGGAGGCACAGCCCAGCCUCUUGUCCUUGUAGAUGCAUCUCGUUUAAUCCUGACAACAUAAUGACAACAUUUCUCUUUUUUCCUCCAGUAUUUUUGUAAUGUUAGCCAUUUGUCCUAUGAAAAAUAAAAUCCAAGACCAAAUAAUUCAGGACACAGUCUCACAGAAAUGUCGGGUCGUGUGAGGUAACUGGCGGAAUAGCAUAGGAGAGUUUCUGUGUUUUGCUUCUGAAUUUUGAGAAGAUGGGUUCUUAAUGUUUACAAAUUAAGGCAUAGUCGUAUGUCUGAUAGUAAUUAUACUACUACAUUUAAUAUGGUUUUACCAAAAAAAAAAAAAAAAGGUAGAAUUAGGUGUAUUUUAAGGUAUAAGUCAACUUUUUUUUAAAACUUGUGUAUCUGGAAGUAGAAGGUCUUUUCAUUGACAAAGAAAAAUGAACUUAAUCAGAUAAUCUGCCCCAUCUGCAAGUUUGCUAUGCAGUUGCUGUAUUUUGGUGUAAACAGCUCAGUGUCACUCAUAUCAGAAAACAUCUUACGUCUUCAUCAAUUUACAAAAUUUACCAAAGAAAAUGUUUCUGCUGACAAAUCAUUUUUAAGGCAUCUAUUAAGGAAUGUACCCCCCUUUAAUGUAGUGACUUCUUUCUAACCCUGAAAGAAACAAAUAUUAAUACAUUAUGUGAACUAGAAAACAUAUACAGUAAAUAGAUAAUAUCCUAUUUUUCCCUACAUCAAUAAGAUGUCAGUACUCAACUGAGAGUACCAAUUAAAGAAUAAGUCUUAAUUUUAUUCCUUAUGACAUAUUUUUAUUAAAGUUAAGGAUUUUGCAUAUCAGUAUUGGAAUAAAUGGGGGAAACUCCUGAAGUUGGUAUAUUGUAUAUUAUGGGUUGUUUAGGUAAAAUUAUAGGAAAAAUUAUUGAAAGGUACCCUUCAAUGGACAGUGUCAUCUAUUUCUAGUAUAAUACUAGCUAUACUGAUAUGGUUAGGUUAGUUUACAUUUAUGUCUGUGUUCACUCUUGACUGCUUUUUGUCUUUGCAUUAAAACAUGGUUGGGUUAAAAGAAGAUAAAAUAACUGCUUCUGAAAUAUGUAGGCCAAAAAGAUCUACAGUGUUUAAGCUGUCUAAUGAUUUCUUAAAUAACGAUUUAUAGUUGUUUUUUUAACUGCUAUUUUAAACACGUUCUUUAAUUUUUUAAUACCACAUUAUAGUUAAUAAAUAUUUAAGUGGUGUGGUAGUACAUGCCUUUAAUCCCAGCACUCAGAGGCAGAGGGAGGCAGAUCUCUGAGUUCAAGGCCAGGCUGGUCUAUAGAGUGAGUUCCAGGACUGCCAAGGCUACACAGUGAGACCCUGUCUCAAAACAACAAACAAAAAAUGUAUUGUUCUUGGGAAGAGAAGAUUGGCCUUCAAAUAAUGACUGAUAAUGGUUUGUAUUACUUUUAAUUUUAUUAUCUGAAUACAGUGCAAAGAUAAUAUUCCAUUUGAUGUUAAAAAUAUUAGUAUGAGGUUUAUCAUGUUUUUUUACACUGAAUCUUUUUGGUUCUAAAAACUAGGCUGGCUAACAUUCAGUUUAAAACUGAUUAGAUGAAACUGUUUUAGCAGUGUACAGAUUUUACUACCUUGGCUUUAUGUACUGUGAUUUCUGUAACAGGCAAACAGAACAUCCCAUUUUCAUUAUUUGUUUCUGUAAAAGGACAGAUAUAUUUGAUCAGCCUAUUGUUAUUGUUAACCUGUAUCAAUUUAUAGCUUGGUAUAAACUUCCCAAGUAUUGAGAGGAUUCUGCUGGUGAACAUUAUGGGUAGGCAUAUAAGAAGUAUGAUCUUUAUUAAGAGAUGUCUUUCAACUUAGGACUAGUGAAAAAUCUUUUUUUGUUUGUUUCAGAGCUGAAGAAAAAAAAAACCAAAAUGCACAUUUAAGAUCUUAUGUACUGGUGCAUGUGAGCCAUUAUCUUGUCUUAUUGAAUGGAUCGAUGCUGUUGAUUGUUGAAAUGUGAAAUGUGUCACUGUUGAACUUGUAAAUAUCUGCCAGAGAUGAAAAAUAUUUUAAUUUAUUGUAAAUAAAGAUGUAUAAAAUUUAGUAUCCGUCUGCAAUGCAGAAAUAAAACAUCUCAGAUGUU
rnacentral:lncRNA from 1 species